UACGGAGGGGGCUAGCGUUGUCCGAAGUUACUGGGCGUAAAGCGCGCGUAGGCGGGUUGGUAAGUCCGCUGUGAAAGCCCGGAGCUUAACUCCGGAGGGUCGGUGGAUACUGCCAGUCUUGAAGGUGCUAGGGGGAGAUGGAAUUACCGGUGUAGCGGUGAAAUGCGUAGAUAUCGGUAGGAACACCAGUGGCGAAGGCGGUCUCCUGGGGCAUUCUUGACGCUGAUGCGCGAAAGCUGGGGGAGCGAACGGG
rnacentral:rRNA from 1 species